rnacentral:rRNA from 1 species
AUUGAACGCUGGCGGCAGGCCUAACACAUGCAAGUCGAGCGGGGUUUUCGGACCUAGCGGCGGACGGGUGAGUAAUGCGUAGGAAGCUGCCCGAUAGAGGGGGAUACCAGUUGGAAACGACUGUUAAUACCGCAUAAUGUCUACGGACCAAAGUGUGGGACCUUCGGGCCACAUGCUAUCGGAUGCGCCUACGUGGGAUUAGCUAGUUGGUGAGGUAAUGGCUCACCAAGGCGACGAUCUCUAGCUGGUUUGAGAGGAUGAUCAGCCACACUGGAACUGAGACACGGUCCAGACUCCUACGGGAGGCAGCAGUGGGGAAUAUUGGACAAUGGGCGCAAGCCUGAUCCAGCCAUGCCGCGUGUGUGAAGAAGGCCUUCGGGUUGUAAAGCACUUUCAGCGAGGAGGAAGGGUGGUGUGUUAAUAGCACAUCAUUUUGACGUUACUCGCAGAAGAAGCACCGGCUAACUCUGUGCCAGUCGCCGCGGUAAGAC